UACGAAGGGGGCUAGCGUUGCUCGGAAUCACUGGGCGUAAAGGGUGCGUAGGCGGGUCUUUAAGUCAGGGGUGAAAUCCUGGAGCUCAGCUCCAGAACUGCCUUUGAUACUGAAGAUCUUGAGUUCGGGAGAGGUGAGUGGAACUGCGAGUGUAGAGGAGAAAUUCGUAGAUAUUCGGAGGAACACCAGUGGCGAAGGCGGCUCACUGGUCCGGUACUGACGCUGAGGUGCGAAAGCGUGGGGAGCAAACAGG
rnacentral:rRNA from 1 species